rnacentral:rRNA from 1 species
GGAAUUUUGCGCAAUGGGCGAAAGCCUGACGCAGCAAUGCCGCGUGAACGUAGAAGCCCUGCGGGGUGUAAAGUUCUGUCAGUGGGGACGAAUAAUGACGGUACCCACAGAGGAAGCACCGGCUAACUCCGGGCCAGCAGCCGCGGUAAUACGGAGGGUGCAAGCGUUGUCCGGAAUCAUUGGGCGUAAAGAGUUCGUAGGCGGUUUGUUAAGUUUGGUGUUAAAUCCCGAGGCUCAACCUCGGCACGGCACUGGAUACUGGCAGACUAGAAUGCGGUAGAGGUAAAGGGAAUUCCUGGUGUAGCGGUGAAAUGCGUAGAUAUCAGGAGGAACAUCGGUGGCGUAAGCGCUUUACUGGGCCGUUAUUGACGCUGAGGAACGAAAGCCAGGGUAGCGAAUG